UACGAAGGGGUCUAGCGUUGCUCGGAAUCACUGGGCGUAAAGCGCACGUAGGCGGCUUGUUAAGUCAGGGGUGAAAUCCUGGAGCUCAACUCCAGAACUGCCUUUGAUACUGGCGAUCUCGAGUCCGGGAGAGGUGAGUGGAACUGCGAGUGUAGAGGUGAAAUUCGUAGAUAUUCGCAAGAACACCAGUGGCGAAGGCGGCUCACUGGCCCGGUACUGACGCUGAGGUGCGAAAGCGUGGGGAGCAAACAGG
rnacentral:rRNA from 1 species